GAACUGAAGAGUUUGAUCCUGGCUCAGAUUGAACGCUGGCGGCAUGCCUUACACAUGCAAGUCGAACGCGAAAGUGGGGGCAACCCUGCGAGUAGAGUGGCGAACGGGUGAGUAACACAUCGGAACGUACCCAGGAGUGGGGGACAACCUCGAGAAAUCGAGGCUAAUACCGCAUACGUCCUGAGGGAGAAAGCGGGGGAUUCGCAAGGACCUCGCGCUCGUGGAGCGGCCGAUGUCGGAUUAGCUAGUUGGCGGGGUAAGAGCCCACCAAGGCUACGAUCCGUAGCUGGUUUGAGAGAACGACCAGCCACACUGGGACUGAGACACGGCCCAGACUCCUACGGGAGGCAGCAGUGGGGAAUUUUGGACAAUGGGGGCAACCCUGAUCCAGCCAUGCCGCGUGAGUGAAGAAGGCCUUCGGGUUGUAAAGCUCUUUCGGCCGGAACGAAAUCGCGUACGUGAAUAACGUGCGUGGAUGACGGUACUGGAAGAAGAAGCACCGGCUAACUACGUGCCAGCAGCCGCGGUAAUACGUAGGGUGCGAGCGUUAAUCGGAAUUACUGGGCGUAAAGCGUGCGUAGGCGGUUUUGUAAGUCAGAUGUGAAAUCCCCGG
rnacentral:rRNA from 1 species